ACACAUUGCAGAAUGAAGGUGUUCUCCUGCCUCUCUGUGUAGUAAGAUACCCAGCGACACGUGGCCACAGGACAAGAAGGGGUAAGUGAAAUCAUUUUAAUAUAAUAUCAGCGUAUGAGAAACCACAAAAGAAAGAAAACAUUUUUCCUGGAAAAUUCUGCAUAUGUAUAUAUUGCAUUGUCUUACAGACAAAUUUACAUCAAAUACAUGAUAUGUUUUAAAACACUGAUUCGAAGAGGACAACAAAUUAAUUUUUCUCCUUCUGUACAGACAUGGGAGUGUGAUUUCUUUCCUGUUGCUAUCGCCUGCUGUUCUUUAGGAGGAGUACUCGUAUUCUUCAGCACUGCGGCGUCCAAAAUCCAUCCAGCCCAUGUAGUCUCUGUCAUUUAUCCUGUGUGUGGGAUCAAUGCUCUGUACCCUGUUUCCUAGGACAGAGAACCUCCCAGUGGAACCUUUCCAGGCUUGCUGCAGGUACUUGGCCAGCAGCGCGCCGAUCGUCGCCCUCUGCUCGAAGCUGCCAUCCAGCCGCGGUGCGGGCUUCAGCGGCCCCGCCGAGGAGGGUGCGCGGGAGUGCCGGUGGGGUUCUGUCAGGCUCUGCUGGAGCUCAGCAGCCACAGGGCUGCCAUCGUGUGAGCCCGCGGGCUGCUGGCCGAGGGAGCUCACCGACAGCGCAGCGAGGAGCACGCAGAUGCAGAUGCCGCCGUACAUCGCUUCCUCCUUCCCUUCCUUCCCCG
rnacentral:lncRNA from 1 species